GGAGUUAGCCGGUGCUUCUUCUGUGAGUGAUGUCCUUCCUGCCGGCUAUUAACCCGCAGGCCUUCUUCCUCACUGAAAGUGCUUUACAACCCGAAGGCCUUCUUCACACACGCGGCAUGGCUGGAUCAGGGUUGCCCCCAUUGUCCAAUAUUCCCCACUGCUGCCUCCCGUAGGAGUCUGGUCCGUGUCUCAGUCCCAGUGUGGCUGAUCAUCCUCUCAGACCAGCUACGGAUCGUCGCCUUGGUGAUCCGUUACCUCACCAACCAGCUAAUCCGACAUAGGCUCAUCCGAUAGCGCGAGGCCCGAAGGUCCCCCGCUUUCCCCCGUAGGGCGUAUGCGGUAUUAGCCUGGGUUUCCCCAGGUUAUCCCCCACUACCGGGCAGAUUCCUAUGCAUUACUCACCCGUCCGCCGCUCGCCACCAGGGAGCAAGCUCCCCGUGCUGCCGCUCGACUUGCAUGUGUUAGGCCUGCCGCCAGCGUUCAAUCUGAGCCAGGAUCAAACUCUGA
rnacentral:rRNA from 1 species